AUUAUUUGCAAAGAAAAGGGGGGAAUUUCAUUAUUUGUAAGGAAGAGUAAAGAGUAAAGUGUUUUAAGGAUGAAUAACACUACUCCUUUUCUGAAAUCGCGCUCUGUAGCAAAGAAGGUGUUGGCCAGAGAGCAACAUGAAGGAGAUGGAGCCAUUGUCAGGCGCAGUAUUGGCAGACCAGAGUUGAAGUUUUUGGAUCCAUUUUUGUUACUGGAUGAAUUCUCAGUAAGUGCUCCUGCUGGCUUUCCAGACCAUCCUCACCGAGGUUUCGAGACUGUGACAUACAUGCUGGAGGGAGCCUUCAGCCAUGAAGACUUUGUAGGACAUAAGGGCACCAUCAAGGCUGGCGAUCUGCAGUGGAUGACUGCAGGCCGGGGUAUAGUCCACUCUGAAAUGCCAGCUGGAGCAGGAGUGCAACAUGGUUUGCAGUUGUGGAUAAAUCUUUCUUCCAAAGACAAGAUGAUUGAGCCUAAGUAUCAAGAUGUUCAAGGGAAAGACAUACCCAAAGUUGAGAAAGAUGGAGUGAAGGCCACUGUUAUAGCAGGAGAAGCUUUGGGCAUCAAAUCUCCAGUGUAUACAAGGACUCCCACAAUGUAUUUGGAUUUCAGGUUGGAAUGCAAAUCUGUACUUCACCAGCCUAUUCCAGAGAGUUGGAAUGCAUUUGUGUAUGUGUUGGAAGGGGAGGCGAGAUUUGGUGCUCCCAACUCACCUGCAGUGGGUGCUCAUCAUACACUUUUAUUGAGCAGUGGUGAUGGUUUGAGUGUGUGGAAUAACAAUGUGAAUAACAAGCCUUGCAGGUUCCUACUCAUUGGAGGGCAGCCGCUAAAUGAGCCAGUGGUUCAACAUGGGCCAUUCGUAAUGAGCACCAGACAAGAGAUAGUGCAAACGAUUCAAGACUAUCGUUUGGGCAGAAAUGGAUUUGGGAGAGCCAAUGGCUGGCAUUCUAAUAUUGCUCAAACUUGAUUUCGUUUCAUUCCCCAUCUCUAACCAUUGGCCUUGAGGGGAUGCAAAUCUGAAGUGAAGCGAAUCUGCUAUGGAGUACAUGAUAUUGUCCAAAGAUAUUUUCUUGUACCUACCAAUAAAGAUGGAGUGCAUACUUUUCCCAAUUGACCAGGCAAUUCACAUAGUUUCAUCUUUUAAAAUAUGCAGCAUUGAUAAGUUUUGUUAUUUUCAACCAAUGAGUAAAUGACUCAUGAUGAUGUGGUG